AGUCUGCUACAGGGCAUUGUGGGAAAGCUCCCCAAGAUGGACUUGGUGGUGGCUUGGCUGCUGCCCACCCUGACCUGGGGCCCCAGGCCCACUGAAGGCAAAGACACACCAUGACAUCAGCACAGUCUGCACAUGCGGAGGACACAAGAGCUCCAGCUGAGUGGCUGGCGACAGCUGACCUCUAGAGCUUCCAGGUGGUGAUGAGCAGAAGUCUCUUCUCAGAAACCCUCGGGUAGGACGGGAGGAAGGAGGCAAAGGAAGGACCAGGAAAGAAGAUCUGGACCCAGAAGCCCUGCACACCUUCCAGGCCCAUCCCUCCCUACGCCAGUCUCUCUUCCAAGGCUGUCACUCCCAAUUCCUGGGGCAUCUGGGGGUCUAGUUGUGCACCAAUGUUAAUUAACCCCCCAAUAAAUAGAUCAAGAGAUAGGAUAUUUUGAGAAGCCUAUAACUUAGGGGGCUUGGCAGCACUGUCUGCUGAUCCUGUAAUGAAGACCCCAUCAGCCCCAGGAUCCUGAGACGGACCAGACACCAGAACCCGUCUUGAGGUCACACGACUCAUAUCAGCCUUACAUCCUUCCGUACCCACCCCUCACCCAGUAACCCAAAACCUCAUCUCUCACUCUCAAGACGGCCCACAUUCUCCCUUGACCUUGUACUCCUUGCUUUACCCCCAUUCUCUCUCUCGAGAUCGCCCCAGUUCUCCUUGAACUUGUAUUCACUCUCCUAAGUAAACCUGUCUAUGCCCCUGA